GAUGAACGCUAGCGGCAGGCCUAACACAUGCAAGUCGAGGGGUAAGUUACUGUCCGGUAACUGAGACCGGCGUACGGGUGCGUAACGCGUAUACAAUCUGCCUUUCACUGGGGGAUAGCCCGAAGAAAUUUGGAUUAAUACCCCAUAGUAUAGUAAUGUGGCAUCACACAACUAUUAAAUCUUAGGUGGUGUAAGAUGAGUAUGCGUUCUAUUAGCUAGUUGGAGAGGUAACGGCUCGCCAAGGCUAUGAUAGAUAGGGGUUCUGUGAGGGAUGUCCUCCACACUGGUACUGAGAUACGGACCAGACGCCUACGGGAAGCAGCAGUGAGGAAGAUUGGGAAAUGGUCGGAAGACUGAUCCAGCCAUGCCGCGUGCAGGAUGAAGGUAUUAUGGAUUGUAAACUGCAGUUGUGAGGGAAGAAUAAGGACUACGUGUAGUUUGAUGACGGUAACUAAUGAAUAAGCAACGGCUAACUCCGUG
rnacentral:rRNA from 1 species